ACACUCCUGCGGGAGGCAGCAGUAGGGAAUCUUCCACAAUGGGUGCAAACCUGAUGGAGCAAUGCCGCGUGAGUGAAGAAGGUCUUCGGAUCGUAAAGCUCUGUUGUUAGAGAAGAACACGUGCUAGGUAACUACUAGCGCCUUGACGGUAUCUAACCAGAAAGUCACGGCUAACUACGUGCCAGCAGCCGCGGUAAUACGUAGGUGACAAGCGUUGUCCGGAUUUAUUGGGCGUAAAGGGAGCGCAGGCGGUCUGUUUAGUCUAAUGUGAAAGCCCACGGCUUAACCGUGGAACGGCAUUGGAAACUGACAGACUUGAAUGUAGAAGAGGAAAAUGGAAUUCCAAGUGUAGCGGUGGAAUGCGUAGAUAUUUGGAGGAACACCAGUGGCGAAGGCGAUUUUCUGGUCUAACAUUGACGCUGAGGCUCGAAAGCGUGGGGAGCGAACAGGAUUAGAAACCCCUGUAGUCCCAU
rnacentral:rRNA from 1 species